AUUGAACGCUGGCGGCAGGCCUAACACAUGCAAGUCGAACGAGUGGCAGACGGGAGAGUAAUGUCUGGGAACCUGCUCGUUGGAGGGGGAUAACUACUGGAAACGGUAGCUAAUACCGCAUACCAUCGGAUGUACCCAGAUGGGAUUAGCUAGUGGGUGGGGUAACGGCUCACCUAGGCCACGACCCCUAGCUGGUCUGAGAGGAUGACCAGCCACACUGGAACUGAGACACGGUCCAGACUCCUACGGGAGGCAGCAGUGGGGAAUAUUGCACAUUGGGCGCAAGCCUGAUGCAGCCAUGCCGCGUGUAGGAAGAGGGCCUUCGGGUUGUAAAGUACGUUCAGCGAGGAGGCGUUACCCGCAGAAGAAGCACCGGCUAACUACGUGCCAGCAGCCGCGGUAAUAC
rnacentral:rRNA from 1 species